GUUGAUCUGCUUGAUAAAUAACGUUUUGUCAGUCACAAAUAUCGUGAUGGCAUUGAAAGGCAUCAUUGCCAUCCGACAUUUGUGGUUGACGAUGUGAUUUUUUUCAAUUUGCAAUUUUU
rnacentral:precursor_RNA from 14 species